rnacentral:rRNA from 1 species
GACGAACCGAGCGAACGUUGUUCGGAAUCACUGGGCUUAAAGGGCGCGUAGGCUGGCUGUCAAGUCUGGGGUGAAAUCCCGCGGCUCAACCGUGGAACUGCCUCAGAUACUGACGGCCUCGAGGGAGGUAGGGGCGAGCGGAACUGUGAGUGGAGCGGUGAAAUGCGUUGAUAUUCACAGGAACUCCGGUGGCGAAGGCGGCUCGCUGGACCUUUUCCGACGCUGAGGCGCGAAAGCUAGGGGAGCAAACGGG